rnacentral:misc_RNA from 1 species
UUUCUCCAUUUGGUAUAGCAGGUAUACACACACGAGGUGAUUCUAGACACGCCCUUGCUAUCCACUUCUGAAGAAGGAAAAGCAAAGCAAGCGCUGAACAAUGAAUGCCCAAGUUGAGUAGUUAAGCUUAGCAUGACAAGCUUCGGAUUUGGCUCCAAUCAAAUACAACAAUCGGGUAGAGUAUUUGGUGAGGUGAAAAACCCAAUCUUUCCACGCUCAAACCUUACUACUCUGGCUUCCGCUAUGGCUGUUGCUUCGUCAACAGAAAGCAUAGACGUGUUUUGGCACGAGGGCAUGCUGAAACACGAUACUGGGAAGGGCGUGUUCGAUACGGGAUUGAACCCGGGGUUCUUAGAUGUGUUAGAAUUGCACCCAGAGAACGCAGACAGAAUCAAGAACAUGGUUUCCAUCCUUAAAAGAGGACCCAUUUCUCCCUAUAUUUCUUGGCAUCUUGGCAGACCAGCUCAACACCCCGAAUUGCUCUCUUUCCACAUCCCAGAGUACAUAAAUGAACUAGUCAAAGCAGACGAAGAAGGGGGGAGGAUGAUUUGUUGUGGAACUUUCUUAAAUCCUGGUUCAUGGAAUGCUUCUCUUCUUGCUGCUGGUACUACAUUAUCAGCAAUGAAGCACAUUCUUGAUGGGCAUGGAAAACUUGCUUAUGCUUUAGUUAGACCUCCAGGUCAUCAUGCUCAACCUACACAAGCAGAUGGAUAUUGUUUCCUUAACAAUGCAGGUCUUGCUAUUCAAUUGGCCUUAGAUUCAGGGUGCAGAAAGGUUGCAGUUAUUGACAUUGAUGUUCAUUAUGGCAAUGGAACUGCAGAGGGGUUCUAUCAGUCUGAUAGAGUACUUACUAUUUCUCUUCAUAUGAAUCAUGGUUCAUGGGGUCCAUCUCAUCCGCAAAAUGGAUCUGUUGAUGAGCUUGGUGAAGGAGAUGGUUUUGGCUAUAAUUUGAAUAUACCUCUUCCUAAUGGGACAGGUGAUAGGGGAUAUAAGUAUGCCAUGUCUGAAUUGGUUAUCCCAGCAAUUAACAAGUUUGAACCUGAUAUGCUAGUUAUGGUUGUUGGCCAAGAUUCGAGUGCUUUUGAUCCAAAUGGAAGGCAGUGCUUGACAUUGAAUGGAUAUCGAAUGAUAGGGGGAAUGACUCGUAGUCUGGCAAAUGGACACUGUAGUGGACGCCUUCUUAUUGUUCAAGAAGGCGGAUAUCAUAUUACUUACUCAGCUUAUUGUCUUCAUGCAACCCUUGAAGGUGUGCUCAGCCUUCCACUGCCUCUAUUAUCUGAUCCCAUUGCAUAUUACCCAGAGGAUGAAGCUUUUGCCGUAAAAGUUGUUGAAUCCAUCAAAAAGUUCCAGAAAGACAAUGUUCCAUUUUUAAAGGGAGCUUGAUUUGGAGGUGAAAUUAUUUUUCAGCCAUUAACUGGAGGUCUUUGAUGAUGCCACAUCCAUUCAUUGCCAGACAUGCAAGCUCACAAUUAUACACAAUUUUCAGUAAUUUGUUGCUUUGUCUAGCCAGUAGCCAUGCCCUUACAUUGAUAGUGGUGAUUUUAUCAUCCAUGCUUGUUGAAUUCAUAUCUCAGGUUAACCCUAAUGCAGCAAGAUGGAGGAUAGAUGUUGAGACUAUCCUAGGAAUAGGAAUUGAAAUUUCAAAUGCAAAUGGGAAUGUAAGGGUGGAACUUAUAUAAGAAUUGAACUUUUCAGGGAAUGUAAAAAUUUUGUACAAACCAAGCACAAGAAUUUGACAUUCCUAGUCACUUUCCUCGUCGAUUACAGACAACCAAACUGCUCCUAGAAGACUUGAGCCUAUGGUAUGAAUUGUUAAACCAACUGAACAAAGGUUGUCGUCCCCAGUUCCUAUUUCUAACUAAUCCUGCCAAGGAGUGAAGGAACUGAAUUUAAGCUUCAUUCCAGCUGACAAGUUAUGAGUUGCUAGGAAGUCUGAAACUUUAACUCUGUAGAAUCUUCAUGUAUAACAUUAUAAAUAUGUAUUUUAAAUGAAUUACUGCUCCAAAAAUUUGCAAGUUCAUUUUCAGUUUCUAAAACUAACAGAAAUCCGUGACCAUUAGAAUAAUUUAGAUUGUAUUUCCUUAUCUUUGUGUUGGUAAAAUGAUUUUGUAUGCUUUUAUGUGCCCCUUGAUUAAAGUCUUUUUGUUCUGUGUCACGCAAAUGAGUUUUCUGUUUUUUUGUUUCUCAAACAGAGCAUCGGAAUGUAACUUAAAUUUAGUGCCAAUAACAUCUCUUUGAAUGGAAGGCCUUACAAUUAUUUCAUUUCAUAUAAAGCAUAAUAUGUUAGAAGAGGAUUAAUAUAUUUCUAUAGCUUGUGGAACUGCUGCAGUGUGUUUGCAAAGUGAACUACCACAUACUAGCAUCUCUCUCAUCUACCUUCGGCCAGUUCCAGUAGGACGAUUUGCAAUGUAAGUCCUUAAAGAAGGAGACUGGGUGAGACCGUCAGGAGCUACUGUUGUAUUUUGAGUUCCAUUCUUCUGCUGCAUUCUUCUCCUUGCCAUAUAACCUCUGAUCCAAGGGGUGACAUCCUCACUUAUCUUGAUCAUGAUAAAAAAGAUUAUGCGGUAGGCCACAAUCAUGCUGAAGAUGACACUGAGAUCCACCCAUUUUGAUCGGUGCACAUCUAUCUGGAAUAUAUUUUCUAGUAUGUACUCACCAGGAAUCUUGGGAAGAUCCGGUGUCUGGUUGUCAAACCACAAGCCUCUCAGAUCAUUCUGAUAUUGCCCCUGUAGAGCCCAGAAGUGGAAGCUAAUGUACGACAUUGGAUAACGCCAAACAGGCUUUGGUAUAUCAUUUGGAAGCCUAAAGUAUCCAGACACUAGCAUGAAUAUUCCCUGAAUUCCAGCUCCGAUUAUGAUACCCAUGAGGAAGUUGGGGACAAUACUAGCUAUGGCCAUCAUCAAGCUCUCAACUACGGUGACACUUGCAUAAAGGCACAGUACGAAGAAUAAAUAAUGUUCGAAACCAGGGUGAAGGCGGACCAUGAAGUAACAAAUGGUUCCAGAUAGAAAGGUGAUUAUUAUCAGAAAUGGCAUUGCAGAGAUUGUGUUGCUAAUUACGAAAGCUAUAACACCAUAGUGACCAUUUAACCUCUCCCUUUGGAACACCUUCAUAUCUUCUACAAAAGAAGGAAACCCACCAAUUGACAUGAAAGUGACAAAACCAAAGACAAAGGAAGCACAAGAACCUCUCGCCUGCUCAAGGAAUAAUGGAUCAAAUUUAUGAGCUUAUAAGCCUCCGCAUAUCUCAUAAUGGAUCAAUAUAUUGUUGCUUGAUUUUUUUCAGAAAAGCCCAUAAUCCACUUUUAAUGGAAACCCACACCAAAAUUCCAACAUGUUAUUCUUGAUGUGAUAAGAAUUAAGAGUGAUUGUCUUGUGUGCUUGAGUGAAGUGUCAAAAAAAAAAAAACUGAAUUUUCUAUCUCUAAAAAGCAACCUUCAGAACCACAAACUAAAGUUAGAAAAUGGGUGCAGAGGACAGAAACCGUACCAGAAUUGAACUGUAACCUGUCCCCACAUUCAAGUAGAUAGUUCCAAUGCAGACGGUGACCACAAUGUAAAUCACAAGCCUAAGCCAGUAAUACCCAAAGUCCCUUGACAUAUUGAUGAAUGAACGCUUCGUUAAAGUAAAGGCCUGCCUCAAGAAACUAGCCUGACUUCCCCCUGAAUCAAGCACAGUUCCUUUCUGCAACAGACAAUAAAGAGACAUCAAAUUUAACUCGGUUAUUCAAAAUCCAACUAAAUUGGUAUUCACAAACAGAGAGAAUUGGAAUGAGAAAAAUCCCAUAGCUCAUAAAAUCGAAAAUAUAAAAGGCUGCCUAAUUGUUAGAUUGAUCUGAAACCUGCAGCACCAUAAAAACCACUUACAACUUUGGAUAUCUCCUCAACUUUUUCUCUUGCGGCAUAGCAGUACUGAGAAGUACGGUAGUGAUCAACUAGAGUUCGUAUGGCUUCGGCUGUCGUUAUCUUGUCCAAAGGAUCCUCACUUGACUCAAACUGAAUAGAAAGCCAAGUUUUUCAAGAAGAAUUAGAUAGUCCUUAAAUAACAGUCAGUGAGACAGGAAGGAAAUGAGAUCAAAUUAACCAAGCCCAUCUUCCCGGAUACCAGUUCAUACUUGUAUAUAUCAUGGUAUUUAUUAUGGAUCAAGAAAUCCUCCUUAAUAAAAAUAAUCAAUAACAUAUUCUUUUAAUAGAAGAUUUAAAUCAAAUGAGAGAUUAUUAGGUAUAUAUAUACCAUUUCUCACAACCGCUCAAUUUUUUUAUGUGAGAAAAAACACUAAUUUUGUGUGCACAGAUUAUUCCGUAAUCUUCCUAAAUGAAUUGGUUAAAUGAUAGACAGUGAUUUUUGGUAACUUCCCAUACAGUUCAAUCAAGAAAAGGGCAGUGUUGUUUAAAUUAGAGCCUCAAAUUCCAAGAAAUGAAAACCAACUUCGCUAACUUAAUUAUCAAGCUCGAUGGAAGGGAGAUGUGAUACCCGCAGUUUCAUGGAGCCCUUCAAAGUAGCCUUUACUUUGUCAAAGUCAGAAUUGAUGCAUCUAAGAAAAUGAUCAGAAGGGUUCCUCAAGGCAGGGCAGGGAAAACCAGCUUGUGCAAAGAACUCGUAUGCCUCUGAAGCCUGACCAAAAUAAACAGUUUUGCCUCCUGAAAGCAAGUACAAUCUAUCAAAGAGCUCAAAAACUUCACUACUAGGCUGGUGAAUUGAAGCAAUGACAGUCCUUCCAUCUCUAGACAGCCCGCGUAAUGUUUGAGUUACAAAGAAAGCCGAAGCACUGUCAAGUCCGCUGGUUGGUUCAUCCAGAAAGAGCAAUCUAGGCCUCAUUAGGAUUUCGAGAGCUAUGCUGACCCUUCUCUUCUCCCCUCCACUGAUCCCACGCAAAUGCCAAUUUCCAAUUACUGUGUCUGCACAAUCUUGAAGACCCAUCUCUAUUAUGGUACUCUCAACCAAUGCCCGCUUCUCCGACCGAGGCAUCUUAUCGGGGAGACGUAGUCGAGCUGAAUACCAGAUCGUUUCCCUCACCGUUAGAGUACCAAUCAAGUUGUCAUCUUGUGUCACAUAGGCAGCAGCUCCGAAAGAGAGCUUGGUUUUUCGACCAUUGAGGAGAAUGGUCCCAGAAAGGAAAGCAUUGGCAGCAAGGCGACUAGAGAGAGCAUCAAGCAGAGUGGAUUUGCCAGAGCCAGAAGGCCCCAUGAGAGCCGUGAGUGAUCCUGGUUCAGCAUAGCCAGUGAGUCCCUCCAAAACCUUUUGUGACUCUCCAUUCCUAAGGGUUACCAUCACAGUCAGAUCGUUCCAUGUAAGUCUCGCCGACGCAUCCCCCACGAACUCUGUGUUGGAUUUGUCCCUCCACAGAGUCUCGCUUAGAGGACUCAACCCCCCUACCACCAUUCCAUA